rnacentral:rRNA from 1 species
AUUGAACGCUGGCGGCAGGCUUAACACAUGCAAGUCGAGCGGGGGAAGGUAGCUUGCUACCGGACCUAGCGGCGGACGGGUGAGUAAUGCUUAGGAAUCUGCCUAUUAGUGGGGGACAACAUCUCGAAAGGGAUGCUAAUACCGCAUACGUCCUACGGGAGAAAGCAGGGGAUCUUCGGACCUUGCGCUAAUAGAUGAGCCUAAGUCGGAUUAGCUAGUUGGUGGGGUAAAGGCCUACCAAGGCGACGAUCUGUAGCGGGUCUGAGAGGAUGAUCCGCCAAACUGGGACUGAGACACGGCCCAGACUCCUACGGGAGGCAGCAGUGGGGAAUAUUGGACAAUGGGGGGAACCCUGAUCCAGCCAUGCCGCGUGUGUGAAGAAGGCCUUAUGGUUGUAAAGCACUUUAAGCGAGGAGGAGGCUACUUUAGUUAAUACCUAGAGAUAGUGGACGUUACUCGCAGAAUAAGCACCGGCUAACUCUGUGCCAGCCGCCGCGGUAA